AUUCAGGCUUUCUCUGCUUCUGCUGGUGUGGUGUGUGUGCACAGCCUUAGAAGAGAUUCAAGUGAAAACAUUAGAAACAGGAACAGGAACAGAUUUGGGCACUCUUUCCUGUCCAAACCAAACCAUUCAUGACAUCAUGUAUGUAAUAUGUAAGAUGAUAAGUGGUGGGAGUGAGUGUCGAGUGUCUCUUCGGUUUGACCAAAAUGGUACAGACAGCACUUGUGACCCCAGAGUCACACUGCAGACAGAGAAUGACAGAGUGUUUCUACACAUCACCAACAUACAACCAUCUGAUGAAGGGAGCUACACCUGUGAGUGUGGAUAUAAUCGAGGAACAGAUAUUUUGCAUCUCAAUAUUUCUGUCAAUGGAUCCCAUGUCACAAACAACCUUUCUUUCCAACGACCUUUCAAUGUCAUGAUAAUAACAGCCGUUGCAGGAUUUGUAGCCGUCGUGGUCCUUGUUGGAAUAAUCAGGAAGAAAUGUCAUCUCAACAGGAGAACAAAGCAGAAAGCGGUGUACACCUUUAAAGAGGUGGAGCAACAGGACAUUGAGCCCUACAGCACGUUCACAAGGAGAGACAAUGGGCUUUACUCAACUCUCCAGCUGACACCUUCUAACCCCUGACCUCUGGCACCGUUGACCAAUGACGACAUGGCAUUAGACACCUUUUUCUAUCACUAGGGGUUAAAUACUAUUUCACCAGCCCUGGAUAUACAACUGUACAGUAUAUCUUGAUUACUGUAAUGCCCCUAUUUUUACAGCUGAUACACUGACUUUAUAUAGUUCCAUUGAUUGGUUACUGACACCUGGCUGAAUAGGUCCUGUACUGUAGAUAGUCUUCUGUUGCUGUGAAUAUCAGCACUUACUGUAUGACUCAUGUACAUUCUGUUAGGUAGAACCAAUGUUCCUGUGGACAGAUGUGAUCAUGUGCAUUUCCACCAGG